ensembl:snoRNA
AUUCUUUUGUAGCUCCUAAGUGUGAUCAUUGAGUGUUCAUACUCAUUUGUGCGCUGUGCCUCCGUCAGUCCUUGUUACGACAGAUGAAA